UACGGAGGGUGCAAGCGUUAUCCGGAUUUACUGGGUUUAAAGGGUGCGCAGGCGGAUAUGUAAGUCAGUGGUGAAAUCUUCCCGCUUAACGGGAAAACUGCCGUUGAUACUAUAUAUCUUGAAUGCCGUGGAGGUAAGCGGAAUAUGUCAUGUAGCGGUGAAAUGCUUAGAGAUGACAUAGGACACCGAUUGCGAAGGCAGCUUACUACACGGAUAUUGACGCUCAUGCACGAAAGCGUGGGGAUCAAACAGG
rnacentral:rRNA from 1 species